GCCUACGACCAUCUCACCCUGAAUGCGCCCGAUCUCGUCUGAUCUCGGAAGCUAAGCAGAGUCCAGAGCCUGGUUAAUACUUGGAUGGGAGACUGCCUGGGAAUACUAGGUGAUGUAGGCU
rnacentral:rRNA from 1 species